UGGAACUCCAUGUGUAGCGGUGAAAUGCGUAGAUAUAUGGAAGAACACCAGUGGCGAAGGCGGCUCUCUGGUCUGCAACUGACGCUGAGGCUCGAAAGCAUGGGUAGCGAACAGGAUUAGAUACCCUGGUAGUCCAUGCCGUAAACGAUGAAUGCUAAGUGUUGGAGGGUUUCCGCCCUUCAGUGCUGCAGCUAACGCAUUAAGCAUUCCGCCUGGGGAGUACGACCGCAAGGUUGAAACUCAAAAGAAUUGACGGGGGCCCGCACAAGCGGUGGAGCAUGUGGUUUAAUUCGAAGCUACGCGAAGAACCUUACCAGGUCUUGACAUCUUCUGCUAACCUAAGAGAUUAGGCGUUCCCUUCGGGGACGGAAUGACAGGUGGUGCAUGGUUGUCGUCAGCUCGUGUCGUGAGAUGUUGGGUUAAGUCCCGCAACGAGCGCAACCCUUAUUAUUAGUUGCCAGCAUUAAGUUGGGCACUCUAGUGAGACUGCCGGUGACAAACCGGAGGAAGGUGGGGACGACGUCAAAUCAUCAUGCCCCUUAUGACCUGGGCUACACACGUGCUACAAUGGACGGUACAACGAGUU
rnacentral:rRNA from 1 species